AGAGAAUAGAUACCCUGGUAGUCCACGCCGUAAACGAUGGAUACUUGGUGUUGAAGGUAUUGACCCCUUCAGUGCCGGAGCUAAACGCAUUAAGUAUCCCGCCUGGGGAGUACGGUCGCAAGAUUAAAACUCAAAGAAAUUGACGGGGGCCCGCACAAGCGGUGGAGAAUGUGGUUUAAUUCGAUGCAACGCGAAAAACCUUACCUGGGUUUGGCAUCCUCUGAACGCCGUAGAGAUACGGAAGGCCCGAAAGGGACAGAGAGACAGGUGCUGCAUGGCUGUCGUCAGCUCGUGUCGUGAGAUGUUGGGUUAAGUCCCGCAACGAGCGCAACCCUUGUCUUUAGUUGCCAGCAUUAAGUUGGGCACUCUAAAGAGACUGCCAACGUUAAGUUGGAGGAAGGUGGGGAUGACGUCAAGUCCUCAUGGCCUUUAUAUCCAGGGGCUACACACGUUCUACAAUGGUCGGUUACAGAGCGCUGCGAAACCUUGCAAAACGUUGGAGCUAAACCCGGCAAAAAAACCCGGAUCUAAGUUACAGAUUGGAGUCUGCAACUC
rnacentral:rRNA from 1 species